ensembl:lincRNA
CACACACACACACACACUCUCUCUCUCUCUCUCUCUAGCCUCUCUCGCACUCUGAUUUUUAAAGGUUCUAUUUUUUCCCUCCCGCGGCAUCGUUAUUAAUAAAAAGGCGAAUAGGCCUCAGCGCCGCCAUCCGAGCAAGCGGAGAAAUGCUGGCCCGCAGUCCAAGCCCGCGCGCGGAUCCCGCGUCCGCUCCACGCGCCCCCUCGGGCGGGAGAACAGAGCGUGUGCCGUUUGCUGCCGCCGCCAGGAGGCGCCCGAGCCCCGCGUUCCCGAGCGUCUCUGCGAGCCGGUCUGGGCAGAGCUCGGGAGCCGCCGGGAGGCAACUGCGCAUCAGCGGACUCGCGGCCCGGGUCGGAGCCGGGUGACUGGUGCCAGGGGGCGGCGACUCGGAAUCUUGGGGAGAGCCGCGAGUCAGAUGGCAGCGGGUGCGCGGCUGCGUGGGAGGUGCGAGUGGACCUAUCUUCUGCUGUGGUUUUCCUGCCGUGCCUCUUCUCCACCCUAAGUGUUAUUGAAAAGAGCAGAGAAGAUAGAGUGCAGGCCCCUAGAGACAGGAUAGAACGAAACAUGCAGUGUGAGUCUGCCUCCUGCUCAGCAUAUGCUCUUGGUCCCCACUGGUCCAUCUCACUGCUGACUGGCAUCCUGCAGAACAGACAGAUUGCACAGGGGCAGCUCUUUCCUCCAAAGCUGCAAUGUGGUUCAUUAAGUCCUCAGAUUUGGGAAGUCAUCCAGGCACUUGAGCUCAAACAUACAGUUCUGAUCUAAGACAUCACAGGUAAGAAUAUCCAAAAAGGUGAGCUUUCUCCCUGGAAACCAUGAUUUCCUCAGACACAAGGAGAAAUGUUUCAGCUGCCCAGGUUGCAGUUCCAAGUAUGGAGGCUUCCAUGUUUCAUGGUCAGGGUCAUGGUGGAGCUGUUUCAGCUGCAGGUGGGAUGCCACCAUUUGCUCCUCCCUGAUGUCUCCUGGCACCUUUCAUUCUUCAGUCUCACCACUCUGAAGAAGCGUGCUUGCGAGCGCCGCGGGACAAUCCAGGACGUUCCAGGAUUGUGGACGAUCCUGUUCUUCCCAUCUGUGAGGUAAGGCAGAUUAGGAACAUCCAGGUCCAGCGUGAAUUUCACAUCCAGCCAUUGGCUGCCACCAGGGCCUCCUGCAGAUGAAUCACCGUUUCCCCUCCCAGGAGCAGGCAGGUGGUCAGCGCCAGCCCCAGAACAUCUUAGCCACCCAUCUCCAUAGGGCUUGGAUGACAUGAUGAUGCUCUCUGUGCCUUUGAGGACAGCGCCUUGGGUCUUUGUACACUAAAUCCCACCUUGUCCUCUCCUCUAGUUGAAACAGCCAUUUCCCAAAUCCCAAUCUGAUGAAAUCCUGUUCUUCCUUCCCUCAUGUUUCUCUAGGUCUCCUAUGGACUCCCAGAAUGUAAAGUCAGCAUUCCCUUGAGCCUUUUGGGGACUUAUAAGCACAUUGCCCAAAGUCCACCUAACUCCAGGUGUAUCCUGUAGAACCAGUAUUCUAAUUCCUACAUUUAAAGGUCUUACAGGACCACAGGGUGUGCAUAAAAAGCCUGCUGCGAAUCAGAGUGCUUCAAUUGAGUAUUAAUGAGAUGGAGGAAAGAGGCUGUGAGUGCAGACGAUGAGUCCCUGAGUAAAUGGACUCCAGAGCCAAAGGUGUUCUCCACACAGAGAGAAUGACUGUACCCAGGGAAGGAGCUCAGACUCACCUGGACAAGCCCUGAGAGGACAGCCAUGUCCCAGUGUGGCUAGGAGGGUUUGGAGCUCUGGGCACGUACCACAUGUCUGCUUGAUUCCCCUCCCGCCACGUUCUACUUAGGUGAGCUGUGCUCAUUCUUGCUUUCCCAGGGCCUGGAUCACAGUUCCUCAAGCUUUGCAAUACAAACGAAUCACCUGGGAUUUGGAUAAAAUGCAGAUUCACGUUCAGCAGCCCUGGCGUUCUGCAUUUCUCAUGAGCUCCAGGAAGACACUGGUGCUGCUGGGGCAGGACCACACUUUGGGUGGUGAGGGAUUGGCAGGCAAUUCCAGGUGUUGCCUUAGAGAUGGCCUGCUAUUGCACUGCCAGUAGGUAGCUGCCACAGUGAUGGCUGCUCCAGAGCAAGGGGAGAACCUUUUGAAAAGGGUCCUUGAAUCAUUUGGGAAAUAAAUCAAGCCAUAUGAGUAAAAAGUAAUCAAAAAAUACGUUGAAUAUUGGAACCAGAGGAAAUCUUAGCAUCAUUUUGUAAUGACUCCCUGUACACAUUUUCCAGAUGAGGAAACUGACAAAGCCAGGUGGCCUGUGGCUGAGCAGCAAGAUGCUCAGCGAGGUCUCCCUGCUGCACUCCCGUGCACUUCCACAGUGCUACCCUGCUGACAGACACAGGAAAUGUUGAACACAGCUGUCUUUAAAAUUAAGACCAUGACUGCCCUAAACAUUUACAAAGGACCAACCAUGAGAAAAAAGCCUGUACCAGAAAUCAGAAGAUGGCUUUUGUCCAUGUACAACCUUGGACAACUUAAUUACUAAUCACUGCUCUCUGAGCCUUUUUCCCCACUGGUUACAAAAAAAAAAAAAAAAGAAAAGAAAAAGAAAAGAAAAGGAUAUGCCUGCCCUUCCUAAUUCACAGGGCAUCGCAGGGAGGUAAGGUGGUUAAUAUGCUGAAUCACUUCAAAAGGGUGGAGCUGAACUCACAGUGGGAACCCUGUCCCACACACAUUUCCAUGACAAGGAUAUUGGUGAGGUGAGGGAGGUGGGGAGAGGCAUGAGGAUGGGAGACAAAGGGGUGGGAUAGGGAGUGGGGGAAGGAGGAAGUCAGAGGGACAGGCCCAGGCUAGGCUCUGAAGUCAGAAGGUGAACGAGGUAGAGAAUUAGCAGCACACUGUCCAUGGAUAUUUGCGGUGAUGGAAAUGUACUGUAUCCAUGCUCUCCAAUAUGGCAGCCACUAGCCACAUGUGGCUAUCAAGCACUGGAAAUGUGGCUAGUGUGAUUGAGGAACUGAUCUUUAAUUUUUCUUUGUUAUUUCAGUUUAAAUAGCCACAUGUGGCCAGUGGCUUCUGUAGCAAAGAUCUAGAUCAUUUGUUUGAAGCAGUAAAAAGAGAAAUGUGAAUCCCCUCUUCUUACCUCCUAUAACAUGCUAAUUAACAUCACUGCAAUUAACCACCAUUCACAGCUCUUCAGCUGCUCUGUGGAACCUCAGCCGGCUCUGGAACGAACAGCCACAGUGGCAGGGGUUACAGAAUGGGCUGGGAGUGGCAAUGCAGAUUCAUUUCUUCACACACUCUUU